CUGAGCCCAGGCUCCUAGCCAGCCCUGCCAAGGUGCCAGACACGUCAGUGAGGCCUCCUGGAAUCCUCCAGUAACAGGACUUUGAAUAUUAAUUGGAUAUACAGAGGCACAGACUGAAGACUACACUUUCCAGCCUCCCAUGCAGCUGGAUGGAGCCAUACAACCAAGUUUCGGCCAAAGGAAAGAACGUGGCUCAGAUGGAUGUGCCAGAGGAAAUGCACCAGGAAAUCCCGAGCAGGGUGCAAUCAGUCACCAUUAAUGCUCACAAGUAUCAAAGCUACUUGAAGAAAUACAGCUACUUAUGGAUGGAUGAUAAAAUUGAAUUCACGAAGCAGUUCCUUCUCCAUGAGUGAUUUCUUAGUGCUGAAAAACUAGAAUUGC